GAUAAUCUACCCUUAGGUCUGGGAUACUCUCGGGAAACUGAGGUUAAACCCGGAUAGAAGAUUGAUGUUGGAAUGCACUUUCUUCGAAAAGCAAUGCCUAAGGAUGAGUCAGUGGCUGAUUAGGUAGUUGGUGAGGUAAUGGCUCACCAAGCCUGAGAUCAGUAGGGGGGAUGAGAGUCCUAGCCCCGAGAAGGGCACUGAGAUACUGGCCCUAGCACUAAGGUGUGCAGCAUGCCGAAAACUUUACAAUGCGCGAAAGCGUGAUAAGGGUAUCCCAAGUGCAUUACUUAGUAAUGCUUUUGCCAAGUGUAAAUAGCUUGGAGAAUAAGUGGUGGGCAAUACCGGUGCCAGCAGCCGCGGUAACACCGGAGCCACAAGUGGCGACCAUUUUUAUUGGGUCUAAAGCGUCUGUAGCAGGUUAUGUAAACUUCUUGUGAAAUUGUUGCGCUUAACGUAACAGCGAGCGAGAGGGACUGCAUAGCUAGGAACCGGGAGGGGGCAGAGGUACUUCAUGGGGAGCGGUAAAAUGCUAUAAUCCACGAAGGACCACCUGUGGCGAAGGCGUCUGCCUAGAACGGGUUCGACUGUGAAGGACGAAAGCUGAGGGAGCGAUCGGGAUUAGAUACCCCAGUAGUCUCAGCUGUAAACGCUGCGAGCUAUGUGUUGCGUGUUCUUAGGGGACACGCAGUGCCUAAGCGAAGGUGUUAAGCUCGCCACCUGGGAAGUACGGCCGCAAGACUGAAACUUAAAGGAAUUGGCGGGGGCUCACUACAAGGAGUGCGGCGUGCGGUUCAAUUGGAUUCUACGCCGGAAAUCUCACCAGGAACGACGGCAGAAUGAAGGUCAGAUUGAAGGUCUUACCUAACGAGCCGAGAGGAGGUGCAUGGCCGUCGUCAGUUCGUGUCGUAAGAUGUCAUGUUAAGUCAUGCAACGAACAAGACCCGUGUCUAUAUUUGCUAACGCCAAGUUAUUGGAGCGAGCACUAUAUGGAGACUGCCUCGGAAACAAGGAGGAAGGUGCGGGCAACGAUAGGUCAGUAUGCCCCGAAUUCCCUGGGCUACACGCGCGCAACAAUGGCGGAGACAAUGGGAUGCAACUCCGAAAGGAGAAGCCAAACCUCUAAACUCCGUCCUAGUCCAAAUCGAGGGCUGUAACUCGCCCUCAUGACGUUGGAAUUCCUAGUAAUCGGAUCUCAAUACAAUCCGGUGAACAUGUCCCUGAGCCUUGCACACACCGCCCAUCAAACCAACCGAGCAGGGUCCAAGUGAGGAUUAUUUUUUGAAUGACUCGAACUUGGGUUCAGUGAGGUGGGUUAAGUUGUCACAAGGUA
rnacentral:rRNA from 1 species